AGCGAACGCUGGCGGCAGGCUUAACACAUGCAAGUCGAGCGGGCGUAGCAAUACGUCAGCGGCAGACGGGUGAGUAACGCGUGGGAACAUACCUUUUGGUUCGGAACAACACAGGGAAACUUGUGCUAAUACCGGAUAAGCCCUUACGGGGAAAGAUUUAUCGCCGAGAGAUUGGCCCGCGUCUGAUUAGCUAGUUGGUGAGGUAACGGCCCACCAAGGCGACGAUCAGUAGCNGGUCUGAGAGGAUGAUCAGCCACAUUGGGACUGAGACACGGCCCAAACUCCUACGGGAGGCAGCAGUGGGGAAUAUUGGACAAUGGGCGCAAGCCUGAUCCAGCCAUGCCGCGUGAGUGAUGAAGGCCCUAGGGUUGUAAAGCUCUUUUACCCGGAAGAUAAUGACUGUACCGGGAGAAUAAGCCCC
rnacentral:rRNA from 1 species